rnacentral:rRNA from 1 species
CAAUAGCGUAUAUUAAAGUUGUUGCGGUUAAAAAGCUCGUAGUUGGAUUUCUGCUGAGAACGACCGGUCCGCCCUUUGGGUGUGUAUCUGGCUCUUUCUUGGCAUCUUCUUGGUGAACGUUGCUGCACUUGACUGUGUGGAGCGCUACCCAGGACUUUUACUUUGAGGAAAUUAGAGUGUUUCAAGCAGGCAUACGCCUUGAAUACAUUAGCAUGGAAUAAUAAGAUAGGACCUCGGUUCUAUUUUGUUGGUUUCUAGAGCUGAGGUAAUGAUUAAUAGGGAUAGUUGGGGGCAUCUGUAUCAACGCGUCAGAGGUGGAAUUCUUGGAUUGCGUUGCGACAAACUACUGCGAAAGCAUUUGCCAAGGAUGUUUUCAUUGA